UCUGGAGAUACCAACGACGAUUUAGGAUUGGACUUUGGAGAAUUUAUGCAGUAUCUUCAAGACCAUGAGAAGAAAAUGAGGCUGGCAUUUAAUAGUCUGGAUAAAAAUAAUGAUGCAUGGAUAGUGAUGGAUCAAUGACAGUAGACUGGGAUGAAUGGAAGUACUACUUUUUACUGCAUCCUGCAACAAAUAUCACUGAAAUGAUUCAUUUCUGGAAGCGUUCUACUGAAUAUUUAUACCUGUUAACUUGAGAGCAUCGAUAAAUUUCUGAAGUAUCCAUCACUCCUUUAAAGGAAUAAAGAAAAUAAGGAUCAACUGGAAAGUUUGAAAAGAUACAGAAGCAAAUAUUAUUUAGUGCAUUAUUGUCC
rnacentral:lncRNA from 1 species